UAUAAAUAAAGGAAAGAUUUGAUAUCUUCUAUUACAACAACUUGUAGCGGGAUAAUCUGUAUGUGAAAAACUACCCGCUUUAUUCUCUAGUUUGAACUACACAAGAAUACCACAAUAAAGUGGACGUUUAUUGAUAUAAAAACCAUAUCAUUAUAAACUUGAAGUUUAUUGAUAAUUGCACAUGUCAUGGUGUAAAUUUGAAG
rnacentral:lncRNA from 1 species